rnacentral:rRNA from 1 species
GAAUUUUGCGCAAUGGGGGAAACCCUGACGCAGCAACGCCGCGUGGGUGAAGAAGGCCUUCGGGUUGUAAAGCCCUUUUGGCAGGGAAGAAACCAAUGACGGUACCUGCAGAAGAAGCACCGGCUAACUCUGUGCCAGCAGCCGCGGUAAUACAGAGGGUGCAAGCGUUAUUCGGAAUUAUUGGGCGUAAAGAGCGCGUAGGCGGUUCGAUAAGUCUGGUGUGAAAUCCCUGGGCUCAACUCAGGAAGUGCAUUGGAUACUGUCGGACUGGAGUACAGGAGGGGAGAGUGGAAUUCCUGGUGUAGAGGUGAAAUUCGUAGAUAUCAGGAGGAACAACAGAGGCGAAGGCGACUCUCUGGACUGUCACUGACGCUGAGGCGCGAAAGCGUGGGGAGCAAAC